GAGUUUGAUCAUGGCUCAGGACGAACGCUGGCGGCGUGCUUAACACAUGCAAGUCGAGGGAGGACGGCCCCUUCGGGGGUCGAGCCGACCGGCGGACGGGUGAGUAACACGUGAGCAACCUGCCCUUGCGCGGGGGACAACCCGGGGAAACCCGGGCUAAAACCGCAUGGUGCGGGGUUCUCGCAUGGGGACUUCUUGAAAGGCAGCCUCUGAUUCAAGCUGUCGCGCAGGGAGGGGCUUGCGGCCUAUCAGCUUGUUGGUGGGGUAACGGCUCACCAAGGCGACGACGGGUAGCGGGUCUGAGAGGAUGGCCCGUCACAUUGGGACUGACACACGGCCCACACUCCUACGGGAGGCAGCAGUGGGGAAUCUUGGGCAAUGGCCGAGAGGCUGACCCAGCGACGCCGCGUGCGGGAGGAAGCCCUUCGGGGUGUAAACCACUGUCAGGAGGGACGAACCGCCGUAUGGCAAACAGUCAUGCGGUCUGACGGUACCUCCAGAGGAAGCGCCGGCUAACUCCGUGCCAGCAGCCGCGGUAAUACGGAGG
rnacentral:rRNA from 1 species